rnacentral:lncRNA from 1 species
AUUUUAGUUUACAAGAAUCUUCAAACUUGAAAUGAAUGUUAGUUAGGAAACAAAUUGAAUCUUAAUUGUUGGAAGCUAUAAAUGCUUCAACCUUUUUAUUACGAUAAUAGCCGAACUUUAUUUUGUGCCUUUAUUGCCCUGAAUAGGUUAAUACUUUGUGAAUCACUGAAUUAUGAAUUAGUAGUGCAUAUAAUCUAUAUACAUCUCUCUCUCUCUCUCUCAUCGGUUGGUUCGGUUUUACAUGUUAUUGGUUCGGUUUAUCGGUUUUUGGUUUUUAAAUAUGUAAAACCAAUAACCAACCAAUAAGAUAUUUUCUUAUCAAUUUCGGUUUAUCGAUUUUUGGUCCUUAACGGUUUGAUUUUCGGUUUAACCAAUAAGAAAAUACUUAUAAAAUAAAAAUAGUAACAACUAAAAUAGAAAAAUAAAAUCUUAAUUACCCCUAAAACCUACGCAAUACAUUUUAGUUUACAAGAAUCUUCAAACUUGAAUUGAAUGUUUGUUAGGAAAAAAAUUAAAUCUUAAUUGUUGGAAGCUAUAAAUGCUUCAACCUUUUUAUUACGAUAAUAGCCGAACUUUAUAUUGUGCCUUUGUUGUCCUGAAUAGGUUAAUACUUUGUGAAUCAUUGAAUUAUGAAUUAGUAGUGCAUAUAAUCUAUAUACAUACAUCUCUCUCUUUCUCUCUCUCUCUCUCUCUAUAUAUAUAUAUAGAGAGAGGGAAAUUUAAAUAUAUAACAUAAAUAAGGAUAAAAUAAUAACUUAGUGUAUCCUUAUUGGGUUAUUGGUUUAACCGAUAACCCAAUAAGCUAAAAUUGAUACCGAAAUAUUUACCCAAUAAUUUUUUUUUAUAAAACCCAUAAAAAAUCGUUAACCCGAUAACCCAAUACCAAUAACCCAACAACACUUUUAUCGGUUUGGUUUAUCGAUCGGUUUGGUUUUUGCACAGCCUUAAUUCUUUGCCACUUAUGAAUAAUGUACAUGUUGUGCGAGAGGAUACACUAGUUGAUCCUAUAGAUAGCAGAAUCGACUGUUCUAAUAAGAUCGAUUUGUGUCUAUCUAGUGUUAAAGCUAUUGUGUUGAAUGAAAGUACACCAUCGUGUGAAAAUUGCGUUGGCCAACUUGUGUGUAAAACUUGCCCACCACUUGAGGAUAUGUGUUGUGUGAUUAAUUAAUCUCAAGUGAGUGAAGAAUUUGAAAAUGUUGGUCAACAAAAUGGGAGUGAAACCGAGAGCUAUUCUUGGGAUAGUCUUGUACUUGAAAUCUCUUUGAAACUUGAUAUUGAUCUCUUAGAGGUUGAAGAAUGUGUUUUUUCCGAAUCUGCCCGUGAAAUAGAUCAUGCUCUAUUUAGGUAUAAUGUCUUGUUUGAAGAUGAUAGAAACACUCCUAAUAGACCUAGUGGUGAAAAUAAUGGUAUAGCUUGUCUUGGAAGCUAUAGCCUAUAUGUUAACCCACUAUGGUGUGACCACAUUCCUCCUAAAGAUGGAAAUCUCUUCUUGAAAUAUGAGAGUACUCUUACAGGUAAGCAAUGUGAGGUCUUGGAAACUACUUCUUCUUUUGCUUUGUAUGGCUUUUCCGAGAACAUCAUAGUAGAAGUAGAAUUGAGUUCCACCUUUCUGUACUCUCUCUUUACUUGUGAUGAUAUAUAUGCCAAUAUAGAGGGUAAGCCGUGUGGUUGUGGUAAAGACUACGGGAAAUGGGUGUAUUGUCUAGACCCGUGUCUAUGACCACUCUUCCCAUUUGAUCCCGGUGCCCUCAGGGUGGGGAUGAGUUACUUUCGGCUUAGGUGUAUCCUUUCUAGAUUUUCUUCAUAACCAAGUCCUUGGUGCGGUUGUCAAUGGUUUCCUAAUGUGUAACUUCAAGGACUCUUGGUUGUAUGUCAAGUAUGAACUGCCUUGGCAUGUUUAGACUUGUUGUUGGCCGAGACUUGAACUCAAAGGGUCCUCAGUUUCUUUUUUUUGGUGUGGCCUAUUUUUUUUUUGGCUUGUUUUGAUACAUUUGGUAUCCCUUAUUUUUGAUACAUCCUCAUUUUUUUUUUGGUGUGGACUGAUU